rnacentral:lncRNA from 1 species
GCCCGCGCGCGGGGUCCGGUGACGUCACCUCGCCGUGACGCGCAGGCUGUAGGAAAACUGACAAAUUAAAAGAAUUUACCAUGUAUCUUAUGACUCUUUUCUGGAGCCUUGGGACUUUGAUAAAGAUGAAUGCCAUACUCAACCAAAAGUGAAAAUGUGAAGUCGAGAAGAUGUUUGCUAAGUCAAGCCACUUCACGUUUUCACCAGCCAUCCAGAUGUCUAACCAAGGAGUGUGGAUGAUCUGCUCAGCUUUGAAGGAUUCUCUAGGAGAAAGGGAAGAGAGAGAAACUAAAAUGUAUCAGGU